UAUAAUGGGUCAGCGACUUAUAUUCUGUAGCAAGGUUAACCGUAUAGGGGAGCCGAAGGGAAACCGAGUCUUAACUGGGCGUUAAGUUGCAGGGUAUAGACCCGAAACCCGGUGAUCUAGCCAUGGGCAGGUUGAAGGUUGGGUAACACUAACUGGAGGACCGAACCGACUAAUGUUGAAAAAUUAGCGGAUGACCUGUGGCUGGGGGUGAAAGGCCAAUCAAACCGGGAGAUAGCUGGUUCUCCCCGAAAGCUAUUUAGGUAGCGCCUCGUGAACUCAUCUUCGGGGGUAGAGCACUGUUUCGGCUAGGGGGCCAUCCCGGCUUACCAACCCGAUGCAAACUACGAAUACCGAAGAAUGUUAUCACGGGAGACACACGGCGGGUGCUAACGUCCGUCGUGAAGAGGGAAACAACCCAGACCGCCAGCUAAGGUCCCAAAGUCAUGGUUAAGUGGGAAACGAUGUGGGAAGGCACAGACAGCCAGGAUGUUGGCUUAGAAGCAGCCAUCAUUUAAAGAAAGCGUAAUAGCUCACUGGUCGAGUCGGCCUGCGCGGAAGAUGUAACGGGGCUAAACCAUGCACCGAAGCUGCGGCAGCGACGCUUAUGCGUUGUUGGGUAGGGGAGCGUUCUGUAAGCCGUUGAAGGUGUGCUGUGAGGCAUGCUGGAGGUAUCAGAAGUGCGAAUGCUGACAUAAGUAACGAUAAAGCGGGUGAAAAGCCCGCUCGCCGGAAGACCAAGGGUUCCUGUCCAACGUUAAUCGGGGCAGGGUGAGUCGACCCCUAAGGCGAGGCCGAAAGGCGUAGUCGAUGGGAAACAGGUUAAUAUUCCUGUACUUGGUGUUACUGCGAAGGGGGGACGGAGAAGGCUAUGUCAGCCGGGCGACGGUUGUCCCGGUUUAAGCAUGUAGGCGGAGGU
rnacentral:rRNA from 2 species